ensembl:lncRNA
AUGACUUUAAUGAUGGUUCUAUCUACAGAAGGGAGAGGGAGGGAGACAGAGAAGAGAGGGAGACAGAAGAGAGGGGGAGACAAGAGAGGGGGAGACAGAGAAGAGAGGGAGACAGAGAAGAGGGGGAGACAGAGAAGAGGGGGAGACAGAGAAGAGGGGGAGACAGAGAAGAGAGGGAGACAGAGAAGAGGGAGAGACAGAGAAGAGAGGGAGGGAGACAGAAGAGAGGGAGACAGAGAAGAGAGGGAGACAGAGAAGAGAAGGAGAGACAGAAGAGAGGGAGAGACAGAGAAGAGAGGGAGGGAGACAGAAGAGAGGGAGACAGAAGAAAGGGAGACAGAAGAGAGGGAGACAGAGAAGAGGGGGAGACAGAGAAGAGAGGGAGACAGAGAAGAGGGAGAGACAGAGAAGAGGGAGAGACAGAGAAGAGGGGGAGACAGAGAAGAGAGGGAGACAGAGAAGAGGGAGAGACAGAGAAGAGAAGGAGAGACAGAAGAGAGGGAGAGACAGAGAAGAGAGGGAGGGAGACAGAAGAGAGGGAGACAGAAGAAAGGGAGACAAAAGAGAGGGAGACAGAAGAGAGGGAGACAGAGAAGAGGGGGAGACAAAGAAGAGAGAGGGAGACAGAAGAGAGGGAGACAGAAGAGAGGGAAACAGAGAAGAGAGGGAAACAGAGAAGAGGGGGAGACAGACGAGGGAGACAGACAAGAGAGGGAGACAGAGAAGAGAGGGAGAGAGAGAAGAGAGGGAGACAGAGAAGAGAGGGAGACAAAGAAGAGCGGGAGACAGAGAAGAGAGAGGGAGACAGAAGAGGGGGAGACAGAGAAGAGAGAGGGAGACAGAGGAGAGAGGGAGACAGAGAAGAGGGGGAGACAGAGAAGAGAGGGGGAGACAGAGAAGAGCGGGAGACAGAGAAGAGAGAGGGAGAGAGAGAAGAGGGAGGGAGAGAGAGAAGAGAGAGGGAGAGAGAGAAGAGAGAGAGGGAGAGAGAAGAGAGAGGGAGACAAAGAGAGAGGGAGACGGAGAAGGGAGAGAGGGAGAGAGAGAAGAGAGAGGGGGAGAGAGAAGAGAGAGAGGGAGAGAGAGAAGAGAGGGAGAGCGAGGGAGACAGAGAAGAGAGGGAGACAGAGAAGAGAGGGGAGACAGAGAAGAGGGAGGGAGAGAGGGAGACAGAGAAGAGAGGGGGAGACAGAGAAGAGAGAGGGAGACAGAGAAGAGAGAGGGAGACAGAGAAGAGAGAGGGAGACAGAGAAGAGAGAGGGAGAGAGAGAAGAGAGGGAGAGAGAGGGAGAUAGAGAAGAGAGAGAAGAGAGAGGGAGAGAGAGAAGAGAGGGAGAGAGAGGGAGAGAGAGAAGAGAGGGAGACAGAGAAGAGAGGGAGACAGAGAAGAGAGGGGAGACAGAGAAGAGGGAGGGAGAGAGGGAGACAGAGAAGAGAGGGAGACAGAGAAGAGAGGGAGACAGAGAAGAGAGGGAGACAGAGAAGAGAGGGAGACAGAGAAGAGAGGGGAGACAGAGAAGAGGGAGGGAGAGAGAGAAGAGAGGGAGACAGAGAAGGGAGGGGAGACAAAGAGAAGAGAGGGAGCCAAAGAGAAGAGAGGGAGACAGAGAAGAGGGAGACAGAGAAGAGAGGGAGCCAAAGAGAAGAGAGGGAGACAGAGAAGAGGGAGACAGAGAAGAGAGAGGGAGAGAAGGAAGAGAGAGGGAGGGAGAAAGAGAGUCCGAGAUGACAUCAAUUAAUCCAGCAUUUCAAUUAAACUCAUCAGCUCUUCCACAGCUCACCUCAAGAGACAGACGUGAGGGGAAUAUGAUAAAACUGCUAAAUAAAAUGUCUUCCCUGGCA